rnacentral:rRNA from 1 species
AUGAAGCUGCAACCCCGCAAACUGGUCUUCCAGAUCCGCCUCCGGGCCAUACGACUCCCAAGCUUCCUCCUCCCCGAGAUUCUCCUCCUCCUCUCCCGAAGCACCAGCAGCCCUCCUGUGAUCCGUCUCCCUCCUCACGUCCUGCGAUCCCCCAGGUCGUCCAUCUGUAAUUCCUACCCCGCUACUCCCGUCUGGUCUACUUCCCCCUUCCCUAACUCCCUCCUGACUCCCGAUGCUUCUGGUAGACUCGCCAUGCAGAUGGAUCUUCAAUGGCGGAACAAGGUUACGAUCUUGGUCACCGGAUAG